AGUAGAGGAGCUCAUUUGAAUCUCAAGUGAGCUGAGAAAGCACGUGUUCUGGUUAGCAAGAUUACUGCCAUGGUGGACACAUUGGUUGCUAAGACCAGAGCUUGGGAAGAGGAACACAACAUGUCUUUUGCAUACGAUGGUUCCUCUGCUAGCUAUGUUAGAUGAGUACGGUACGCUUACUGCUUAGUCAAGAACGAGAAGAUGAGAAACGGAGGCUGAGGGAACAAAAGAAGGUUCAAGAACAGCCACACGUGGAGCAAGACACUGCCUUCAGCACCAGGCCAAGCCCUGCGAGACCGGUGAGUGCAAAGAAACCGGUGGGGGCACGAGCUAGCAACGGAGGAGCCAAUGGAACACCAAACCGGCGUCUGUCUUUGAAUGCAAACCAGAACGGAAGCAGGUCUGUUGCAAAGGAAGGAGGGAGAAGUGUGUGUAAUUUUGCUAUUGUAAACUUGAAAAUUUCAUGAAGGAAAUAGUUCAUUUGAGGUUUCAGCUACUAGAAACGAUAUAAAGGCACUUCAAAUUCAAUUCAUGCUGACGAAAAAAAACUAAUCCAUUUCGAAUUGGACAGGCAAA